AGCUCAUAUCAGCCGUUAUCAUCAGCCAAACUGGUUGAGCUCUAACACGCAGCCUCAGAUACUUUAAUCAGUGAUAAUGUGAGAUAAUUAUCAGUUUUAAAAUGGAUUACUGGCCAUGACACGUCUUAUGAAUUAAACACUCCUCCUCUAAAGGCCUUGAUUCACAGAACCAUGACCCUCAGAGUCAUGAUCACUGUCCAGGCUUUUGCAAAGCAGCAAAUGCUUGGACAGUUUUCACAGAACAGUGUGUUCCCUCAGCCGGUGUUCAGCCUCCAUGCGAGAGAAGCUCCUCUCCCUCCUCACAUGCACCUGAUGAGAUGAGCAGCUUCAGCUCGUGCAAGCUUCACUUGAUGUCAUGCAUCACAACAACAUGCUGCUCUCUUCUCUGCACCCCCAUCAGCGGGACUGAUCUGUAUCACGGAGGCCUGGCUGAUGGAUGUGCCCUCACUGAUUCUCCUGCUGCAGCAGCAGCUAAUGCUAAAAUAUGAUGAUCCAAGGAACACUGCUGUCGUUAACAAGGUGUAGUCAACAUCUGCCUCCAUCACCCUCCUCCUCCUCCCUCCAAGUCUGUUGUUUCCAGUGUCUGGACAAUGCGACUAAAUGGGUGUGCACACCGCCACCAAACCCCCCCAUCACCACCACCUCUCCUCAGCCGGAGCUCUUCCCAUCUCCGGCGCGCUUCUGUCCGUACACACACGUGCUGGAUUCACGGUCUGAUCUCGAAUCACCCGGAGCAGCUGUGCACAGUGAAACAAUGGUGGCCGCUGGCUAACGUUAGCAAAAAGCUAACCGUGUGCCCCCCCCCCCUCCCCAUCCUCCCUCCAUUAGAACAAGAUGCUGUAAAUCGCAUCAUCCAGGUGAUGGUGACACACAGGUGUGAUAUUUAACCCCGAACUAAGCAGCGGGUUUAAAAACCCAGCGGGUAACGUUGUUAGCUUCAGUUAGCUAACAACCGACACAAGGGGGUCAGGACCGGCUGAGCAGACUGAUAUUUAGGUAGCUACAAUGCUAACAGGGAGACAGGCGGGUGUUUCAUCGCCCGUGUUCCGCGGCGCUUUCCCCAGCUCCGGCAGCUGUGCCGGGGGAUGGUCUCCACAACCGCUGAGACAGAGGCACCGCCAAGAGGCGAGGUGAGACGAGUGAUGCCUCGAUACGUUGAAAACACCCCACCACUAACAACACGGGCUUAACAAGGUGCGACAUCCUCUGUCCUGAAUCCUCAACAAGAGUAAGGAAACCACAAUCAGAUGAAAUCACGAUCCACAAUCCACCAUCAUGACCCACAAUCCACCACCAUGAUCCACCACCAUGCUGCACAAUCAGCUGCCACCACGAUCAGAAUUUGUCCCUGGCUGUUUUACUUAAAGAAGUCAGACACAUUGAACGUGGAGUAGGGUUUCAGAGUCAACCAGUCAGAGAGCAGCAUACUGCACAGACGAGAGGGGACGAGUCACACCUGUGAGCAAACAUGUGCUACGAGACUGAUUCACUGAGAUGAUAAGAGGGAAUGACGAGACUAAAAAUAGAACAACACUGGUCAUUUGACCUAUUUGUGUUUUUAUUAUUGCGUGAAGUACUUUGUAACUUGAAAAACAAAUAAGAUAAAU